AAAUCUCGACGAAUUUUUUCCACGUAUCCACGAUACACGACUAAAAGUUUUCUUAACUUUCAACAAGGUUAGAACAUAUACAGUCCAUCAAUAAAUUAAGCCAAGAGGAAAAAAAACUCAUGUGUUUGUGGAUUGCCAAUGCCAAUGUUCAACUUCAACAUUACUAGACCAUGUCAUAUUCGAGGAAUUCUAAUUGGAGCCAACCUGGUACGAGUCACCGACCUAAUUCCAAAGCUGUAAAACCAAAAAAUGGCUAUGUUUUGAUUGCUGACAUUGGUUCUCCUACUUCAAAGAUAUUACAUUGUGACAGAACAUAUGCUCAACAGAUUAAAGAAUGCCUUAUUGCGUUCAUCCAACAGAAAAUAUUCAUAAAUAAUGCAAUUGAUGAUGUAGCUGUUAUAUUGAGUGGAUCAGAUAAGACACAAAAUAGCCUUGAUUAUAAGAACAUUCAAGUUCUGAAGAACAUGGAGAAAGUCAGUUGGGAGACAGCAAAACUUGUGAAUGAAACUGUACAAACAAAAAAUUGUGAAGGAGAUUGGAUGGAUGCCUUGGGUGUUGCACUAGACCUGAUCCACAGGAAAGUGAAAGCUGGGAAUGUCUACAGUUCCAUUCAAAUAAUAUUUUUUACUGCAUUUGAGUCACCCUUCAAAACUUCUGAGAGAACCCAGAAAGCCUAUAUAUCUGCCCUUUUGGCUGAACAUACCAGCCUGUUUAUUGUAGGAUCAAACAUAAAUCAAGAAAUGCUAGAGAAUGAAGAAAAGAUGAGUAAAGGAGAACUAACUGCCUGUCAACUUAUUCAAGAGGCUAAUGGAGGAAUUUAUAGCUUUGGAGAUUUUUCUGCUGAUGUGGUUAACGUAACGGAGCAACCAAAAAUUGGUUCACCGUUUAAUGUAACUUUAGAUAUUGGAUCUAAAAUCCAAAUUCCAAUUUCUGCUUACAUAAAAACGAAAAAGAGCGAUAGCCUUAAAUGGAGUGAAGAAAUAAGCACUGGUGAAGCCCUUGUUGAUAAAGAAAGAACCUAUCAGAAGGAACAAUCGAACGCAAUUAUAGACAAACAAGAUGUCUUGACUGCUUUCAAAUAUGGUAGCAGAAUCAUCCCAAUAACAGUUGAGGACGAGAAACGGUGGAGUUACAAGUCUGGAAACAAAUGCUUGUCCGUCUUAGCUUUUGUAGAUCCCAUUCCUCCUCAGUUUGGUUCAGGGACCGGAACAAGAUUUAUUUUUUCACACCGGAAAUCGGGCGUUGUUGAUCGCAAUUCACAAAUUGCCUUAUCAGCCCUUAUUAACGCAAUGGCAGAGACGGGUAAAGUUGCACUUGUUCGAUAUGUUUAUGCGAACAACUGCCGCAUGGCCCUUGGAGUUCUUUCGCCGCGAAUCAAAUUCAAAUAUGAGUGUUUAGUUUUUCACGAACUACCUUUCGCCGAUGACUGGCGUCAGUAUGAGUUCCCACCCAUCAUCACUCCAAAAAGUCAACCUAGUCAUGAACAAAUGGAGGCAAUCGAUCAGUUGAUCGACAAACUAGAUUUGACGGACGCUGAAGCAUUUGAUUCAACGAAAAUGUCUGAUCCCUAUGAAGAGUAUGUUCGCCACGUAAUUGGCUUUAAAGUUCUGAAUCCUGAAGAUCCGUUACCCGAAAUUCCGCCGCACAUAAAAAUGAACCUCCAGCCAUCCCCAUCAUUAAUGGAAGGAGCGAAAGAUGUUUUAGAACGCAUUCAGCAAUUGUUUCCACUACAAAUAACUGGGAAGCUUAAAGUCAACGAUUUUGAAGCUUCUAAACGAGAAGCCAUCCCGGCGACUGCCGAAGAAAUGGAAAGGGAGAUUCAGAAUAAAAAAUCUCGGUUGGAUGUAGGCGGUGAUGUCGAUCUAGGGUUCAUUUUAGGAAUGAACAGUGUUGAUAAGGUUGGAACAACAAACCCAGUCAAAGAUUUCUCGCUUCUUCUUCAAAGUGGCAAGAAAUCAGUUGAAGAAAUCUAUGAUGAAAUGUCAAAAGUUAUACUUGAGUUACUUGAAGACAGUGGAGGCACUAAUGUUCCUCUAAUGGUAAAAGCCAAGAAUUGCAUUGAAGCUUAUCGGGAACAUUCCGUGGCAGAGGGCCGUGUGGCUUAUUUUAACCGCUGGAUGAAGCAGUUUAAAGAACAAGUCAUCAGCAAUUACUUCACUGACUUUUGGCAAAAAUAUUUGACUGAAUCACUGGGUUUGAUCACGAAAGACGAAUGUCCUUUAUCUGACGUUGACAAACAUCAAGCUGAGACAUUCCUUCGAUUACCUAAACAGCAACAAGUGAACGAAAUCGAUUCCGUGGAUGAAGAUGAAGAACUGCUCAAUUUGAUUGACUGAGACAAGUCCAGGUGGUCAGCAGUUGAGAGACGGGAGCAUUGAACGAGAAGUCGGUGAAUGUGUGUCGCAAAAGAUGGGUGAAAAUGAAUUGGAUGGUCUGGAUGAGUUGUAAUAACCGUCAUGCAGCAUAGC
rnacentral:misc_RNA from 1 species